CCUACGGGAGGCUGCAGUGAGGAAUAUUGGUCAAUGGACGAGAGUCUGAACCAGCCAAGUAGCGUGAAGGAUGACUGCCCUAUGGGUUGUAAACUUCUUUUAUAAAGGAAUAAAACGAGGCACGUGUGCCUUUUUGCAUGUACUUUAUGAAUAAGGAUCGGCUAACUCCGUGCCAGCAGCCGCGGUAAUACGUAGGAUCCGAGCGUUAUCCGGAUGUAUUGGGUUUAAAGGGAGCGUAGAUGGGUUGUUAAGUCAGUUGUGAAAGUUUGCGGCUCAACCGUAAAAUUGCAAUUGAUACUGGCAGUCUUGAGUACAGUUGAGGUAGGCGGAAUUCGUGGUGUAGCGGUGAAAUGCUUAGAUAUCACGAAGAACCCCGAUUGCGAAGGCAGCUUACUAAACUGUGACUGACAUUGAUGCUCGAAAGUGUGGGUAUCAAACAGGAUUAGAUACCCGAGUAGUC
rnacentral:rRNA from 1 species